rnacentral:rRNA from 1 species
AUUGAACGCUGGCGGCAGGCUUAACACAUGCAAGUCGAGCGGAGAGAGGUAGCUUGCUACUGAUCUUAGCGGCGGACGGGUGAGUAUGCUUAGGAAUCUGCCUAUUAGUGGGGGACAACAUUUCGAAAGGAAUGCUAAUACCGCAUACGUCCUACGGGAGAAAGCAGGGGAUCUUCGGACCUUGCGCUAAUAGAUGAGCCUAAGUCGGAUUAGCUAGUUGGUGGGGUAAAGGCCUACCAAGGCGACGAUCUGUAGCGGGCCUGAGAGGAUGAUCCGCCACACUGGGACUGAGACACGGCCCAGACUCCUACGGGAGGCAGCAGUGGGGAAUAUUGGACAAUGGGCGCAAGCCUGAUCUAGCCAUGCCGCGUGUGUGAAGAAGGCCUUAUGGUUGUAAAGCACUUUAAGCGAGGAGGAGGCUACUUUAGAUAAUACCUAGAGAUAGUGGACGUUACUCGCAGAAUAAGCACCGGCUAACUCUGUGCCAGCCGCCGCGGUAAGAC